UAAAUUAACUUACAUUGUGCCUACCAUUAAGCUACGUUACCUUAGCAUUCAGUGAGGAGCUGGCAAAGUGAAAACGCGAACAUGUUGAACAUUAAAGUUGCUGUGGUCCUGAUGGUAUUGCUUGCAACAGCCACUUCGUUCAUGCUGAUGAACAGAGCGGGAUAUCUAGAGAAACGUGCCUGAUGAUAAGCCUAAUCUGGAUGAAAAUUUACCCGGAAAUUUAAAUUGUAAAAGCUCACGCACUAUAAGACCUAGUACACCACCAUUAGCCAGUUAAUAUGU